rnacentral:rRNA from 1 species
CUGCACGGUAGCCAAAUGCGGAAGAAAGCAGUGCUGAAAGCAUCUAAGAACGAAACUUGCCCCGAGAUGAGGUCUYCSUGAGACUUAGAGYYUMCUGAAGGAACGUUGAAGACGACGACGUUGAUAGGCCGGGUGUGUAAGHKCAGCGAUGCGUUGAGCKAACCGGUACUAAUGAACCGUGAGGCUUAACCUUACAACGCCGAAGCUGUU